GGCAGUGUAGUAUAGUGGUUUGAAUGCUGCACUACAACUCCGGAGACAAGGGUUCGAAUCCCCAUUCAGCCU